AGAAUCAACGCUGGCGGCGUGCCUAACACAUGCAAGUCGAACGAGAAAGUGGGAGCAAUCCCAUGAGUAAAGUGGCGCACGGGUGAGUAACACGUGACUAACCUACCCUUGAGUGGGGGAUAAACCUAGGGAAACCUGGGCUAAUACCGCAUAAUACCUACGGGUCAAAGGAGCAAUUCGCUUUAGGAGGGGGUCGCGGCAGAUUAGUUAGUUGGCGGGGUAAUGGCCCACCAAGACAGUGAUCUGUAUCCGGCCUGAGAGGGCGCACGGACACACUGGAACUGAAACACGGUCCAGACUCCUACGGGAGGCAGCAGUGGGGAAUUUUGCGCAAUGGGGGAAACCCUGACGCAGCAACGCCGCGUGGAGGAUGAAGCCCCUUGGGGCGUAAACUCCUUUCGAUCGGGAAGAUAAUGACGGUACCGGAAGAAGAAGCCCCGGCUAACUUCGUGCCAGCAGCCGC
rnacentral:rRNA from 1 species